UGGGGAAUAUUGGACAAUGGGCGAAAGCCUGAUCCAGCCAUGCCGCGUGUGUGAAGAAGGCCUUUUGGUUGUAAAGCACUUUAAGCGAGGAGGAGGCUACUAGUACUAAUACUACUGGAUAGUGGACGUUACUCGCAGAAUAAGCACCGGCUAACUCUGUGCCAGCAGCCGCGGUAAUACAGAGGGUGCGAGCGUUAAUCGGAUUUACUGGGCGUAAAGCGCGCGUAGGCGGCUAAUUAAGUCAAAUGUGAAAUCCCCGAGCUUAACUUGGGAAUUGCAUUCGAUACUGGUUAGCUAGAGUGUGGGAGAGGAUGGUAGAAUUCCAGGUGUAGCGGUGAAAUGCGUAGAGAUCUGGAGGAAUACCGAUGGCGAAGGCAGCCAUCUGGCCUAACACUGACGCUGAGGUGCGAAAGCAUGGGGAGCAAACAGG
rnacentral:rRNA from 1 species